rnacentral:lncRNA from 1 species
UUUUGUUGCUGAAUGUGGUGGAUUUGAUGCUGUUCCAUUUCAGCGCUCCUGCGCUGGUUCUGCUGGCGGAACAACAGAGCCGCAUCGGCGUUUUUGAGCAACAUCUUCUCCUGCCUGGAGGCCAUCUCAUAGAUGCGAUCCAGGCUUUUAUGUUUUUGAAGCUCAGCUUACCAUCCGAGGAAUAUGGGGAAAAAGGAGAUAAGGGCAGGCCAAGUCCAGAUGUUGGCCAGCAUGACGGCCACUUUUUUGCGCGUGAUUUUCAUUGGGUACAUGAGAGGCUGCGAGAUGGCGUAAUAGCGAUCGACACUGAUGCAGCACAGGUGCAAAAUGGAGACGGUGCAGCAAUAGACGUCGAAGCUGUUCCAGAUAUCACCUAUAGAGCAAAUGCAGGACAGCUGGACUUACACAUGGCGUAGCUAAAUAUCCAUUGACCGAAGAUGAUGACGCUGGCGUUAAAGCCCAUAGCGACCAAUGCGACCAGGAUGUCGGCCAUGGCCAGCGACACAACAAAAUAGUUGGUGAUGAUGCGCAAUUUGCGGAAGCGGGCCACGCUAAUGAUGACGAGCAGGUUGCCGAAAAUGGAGGCGGCGAUGAUGAGACCCAUCAGGAAAGUCUUGACCACCAAUGUCAGCGUCAAGAACCAAUCGACGGCGGCUUCAGCGUCUUCGCUCAGACCACUGCCCAGCUCCGUCUCCAUUAUCGAGUAACCGGUAGCGUCGAAGAGCAACGAGCCGUUGUCUAUUAACGAUUCCGUGUUAACGUCCAUGGCCAUCCCCAGCCCGCUACUAUGGCCAGGAGACCUUUAAAACAUUGGGGAAAGCAAAUAGAAAAUUAAAGCCCCCGACCGAUCGAUACAAACAUUCGAUCUGCGGAAGAAUGAGGCGCACACGAUUCGAGUUCCACAAAGCUCUCAAAUGAUGGUGGAAAACUUUUGACGCACUCGGCAUCGAUUUCCUUCCGGUGCGUUGUAAAUGUACAGGAAGAGGAAAACUGCGCCCCACGGAUCCAAAGUACUUCACCUACUUUGUUAGCGGCUAUUGUAACCCGAUCUCGCAAAUCCGUGCGCAAACUUCUCGGAAGGACCGCACUGUUUCAUCUCGCUGUAUUCAAUCAUUGCUCAUCUCUUCCGUGCUUGAUGUUCCAUCGUCAAGGACGGCCGGGUUAGAGAGUAGUAUUGAAACUGUACGCGGUGACUCUGCAGCGUCCGAAAAGAGAUGAAGCAGUGACCAAGAGGAGAGAAUUAUCGAUCGACCACAUCAAUAAGAAGCGGAAAAAAAAUGGACGGUGCUGCGUCAAAACGGAAGAAGCGUCCCGCAUCCCUGAGGCGAUGGCCAAAAUCGGAUGGAGACGCGCCCAAAUGAUUGUGAGGAUGUCUCCCUGCAGACGCCUUACUUCCUGCACUUCCCGGAUGGUAGAAAGCGGAAGGAGACAACGAUAAUGAAGACGGAUCACUUCAAAAGAAAAGAAAAAAAACUGUACAGAUAUGUAGUUUUCAUUACGUUUUAAGUCGAUGCAGACACGUAGAAACUCUAUUCGAGUUUAAGCUAUUCCUAUAUCUAAUCCAUCAUCGAUAAAGUGGCGAGGAAGAGCCAGGUUAAAGCAGGAAAAAAGAAAAACAUUUUGAUGCAGUGAAAAAGGACAGCUCCACGUAGUGGUUUGCCAGACUGGCUGCAACACUCUUGUGUCGAAAAGUGGAUGAUGCAUUCCACUAGGAGGGCAGCCAUUAGAAAGAGCGAGAAAGGCAGCAACCGUCAAGGAGAAAGGGCAUCUACAGCAGACACGAAAAUAGCUGCGGGGAUAUAAAUGUAUGCAUCAGAAAAAAUUCACUGCGCUCUGAUCGGAUGACAAGAAAGCCUACGUUCUUUACAGAUGCACAACACUUUUUGAUGUCAAUGCCAGGAUGUCCUAGAAUCCAUACUAUUCAUCCGCUCUUGCACCUGAUCCGCGGUAUCAGAAGUAAAGCAGAUGGACGUAUAAUAGCCAUAGGAAUUGUAUUUCUAUAACCUACUCACGCAAAUGGAUGUAAACUGCUCCAGUACGCUGGCGAUUACCGUGUUGGGAUAAUCCUGAAUUCUAUUCAUGUCCUUCUUUCAAUGCAAGAAAAGACAACUCAUUCACUAAAAAGAUUCAACAAAAUGCAAAGCUGAACAGAAAAUCAAGGAGCUGCUGUGUAGGACUGAUGCUUUGAAGAGUUUCAUUGGAAAUUGAAUCACUCCGUCUUCUGUGUUCAUGUAUACACACACACACACUGAUUCCACGUCUUACACAUUGUUUGCGUAGCUGACUUGCACGACUUGAUCGUAUCGUCAACUUCUCAUCUAUUGCGUACGAGUCGUGUUUACCCAGUAAGACUCUUUGCCACCGUAUGUCAUCGAAGAGGAGCGCCGAGAAAUUGCACACGUCAACCGGCGUGUGCUGGUAUUCUGAUAUCAAAGUGAUUGUGCUGAGCCAAAAAGGGAAUCGUGUCCCUCUCAUACUUGCCAUUGUUGUGGCACACAUUUCAGGACGGUUAUUGGUUCGCGUUGAUUAUCUGCUCGUAAGUAAACAGAAUACGAGUUGAUUAUACACGGACAACAUGAAAGAAAACAACUUUGACUGUUCAACAUUUUCCAGCUUCAUUGAUUAAUCCCGACAGCGCCCUCAAACGGGCCUAAUGAAUCGCUGAAGCAAGUUAAACGUUCCGUCCAAACAGAUGACAAGCAUCAAGGAAUAAUGGAAACGCAUAACGGCAGUAGAAGCAAUUGAAUGUUAGAAAAGAAACCGUCACUGGAAACCAGACAUCUUUACGUGUUAUUGAUCGGCCCCGUCAUUAGCACCGUCGGAGUCGAAGCUCUUUGUCUUACUUCGUCUGGAAAACGACUCGCAGAGAAGUGUUUUCAACUCGUCGGUGAUAACGAUACGGCUCCAUAUCCGUUGAUCCAGCUUCGUGUUUACUUGUAUAUCGCUAAUGUUCCACCCAUUGGGGCGAUCCGCCGCCGAUCUGCGAAUCGCGUGAAAGGCGGGCCAACCGAAAUUCGGCUAUAACUAUAAUUGGCACGAAGGCGAAAAGGAAAACUAAAUGCACGGCGUGUGGAAGCGGGGAAGAAAAAAGAAAAUUAAGAAACUUCUAUUAUACAACCCGCUACGUAGAGGAAGAACGAAAUGGAAAGGGCCGAGAAAAUCAAUAUAAAGGUUGAUCCGGUUACGUGUUUGAAUUGCCGGUAAAACGAAGACGACGUUCGCCAGAAAGAAAACAGACAGCCCGCAACACUGUGCACCUAAUUCAGCUCGGAGGAGAUUGGCCGUUAGGUUUCUAUAGAAAUUCUACUUUAUUUGGCUGCCUGAAAUAAUAGCAGACAGAAAAUUGGGAUGAAAAAAAAAA